UACUGCGCUUUCUUGUUUCCUCCAGCUGCUUUCCCACCACUAUUGUUCCUUAAGUUCCAGACACCCAUGUUUAGCGAAAGAGGAUCAUUGUACCUGUUUACUUCAUAGCAUAAAUAAACAAGCGAUGGGAAGAACAACCCGUCUUUGAUUUUAGGUGGGUGAAAGGAUCACUGCCAUCCUCAGUAGCAGCCAGAGAAGCAUCGGCAUCGACAUCCUAGUAUAAGAUAUAGCAAUCUAGUUAAAUGGAAGAGAGGUGAUGCAUACAUCAAACAAUAUUUUCAGCAAUGAAUGCAUAAUUUAAAAUAUAUAUAUAUAAGUUCCAGAUUAUUUAGUUCUUAUGAUGCACUUGUCAUUCUGUUACUAAUAUUUUCAGCAAUCCAUGUGAACCAUUGCUCAGUUCUUUGGCAAACCACAACAUUGUAAUGCGGUGUGAUCAAAUUAUAUUUUGGCAUCACUAUUUUUUCUUUCUAAUCCAUGCGAACAUUGCCAUCAGUUGUGUUUGUAAAUGACUGGUAUUCCUCUGAACUAAAU
rnacentral:rRNA from 1 species